CUGCCCCUCCCUUGGCCUAGUUCAUUCUGGAAACCCUCGCCGCCACCCGGUUUGGGAGAAAACGCCAAUAGCGACGGCUGCAUCGGGUGCUUGCGGCGGUGCUAGUUCUUCGCCGUCGACAAGCAGGGGAUGGAAGCUACGGGUUCCCAUUGAGAGAGGAGUUCGAUGAAAGCCUUGAACAGCCAGAUCCGAUUCCCCUCCUCGUCCUGCUAGAGAACGGGGCUAGAAAUGCGGACCCUGGUGAUUCAAAUGUUGGGCCUGGGAUCGGUCAGAAGGUGGGAGACGAUGCCACAGGUGGAGCGGGUGAAGGUUUGCGCCGUCGGCGUGAUGCAUCUCCGACGAGGUCGGCCCAGUUGACCGACAAAGCAAAUCCAGAGGCCCCUGGCCGGUCUAAAAGGCUUCGUCUAGGCAGUGCGCCACCAAACAGAGCAAUCAUGUCCCUCCCGGAUAAGCGCUCUGGAGCAGUCAAUCCACAAGUAUGUAGAGCAAACUGACAAGAGUGUAAUACGGCCUGACAAAGGUUGUGAACCAUGGGAGAGAAGGUGCACUGGCCAUCUCAUUAGCACAUUGACGUUUACACCAAGGAUUUGUUAAAGCAGCAGAGAGAAAACAUUGUGAACCUGGGGGAAGUCUAUAUUAUAAUUGGUAGCUUUUUUGGUUGCAUUGAGAAGGUGCCAUUCAUGAAAAGGACUCUUAGUAAUAUUUGUGGAAAGAUUAGUCGUGAACAAGCUGUGGAUGAUGUAAGGAAGACGCUGGAGGUGUUUGCUGACAUCCGUUCUACUGACCCUGGCUUCACCUAUGUGGUUUUGACUGACAAGUCCAUCAAGGUUAAAAGUCUCAUGUGGGCUAAUGGGAGCAGCAAAAUGCAAUACAAGUUAUUUGGUGAUGUGGUCACAUUCGACACUACAUACAGGAUAAACCUUUAUGACAUGCCGUUUAGGUUAUUGUCGGAGUUAACAACCAUUUUCAGAUCAUUAUUCUGGCAGGGGUGUUGAUGCGGGAUGAACAAGAAGAAAGCUUUCAAUGGGUUUUCGCGGAUGAUGGGAGGCCGUGCCCCAAAGAGAAUACUCACAGACCAAUGCAGGGCUAUGGAGAUGUCGAUCAGUAAGAUUUAUCCAGCUACUGUUCACCGGUGGUGCAGGUGGCAUGUUCUGAAGAAAGCGAAGGAAACCCUGGGACUGCUAUACACGAAGAAGAGCGACUUCCAGGCUGAAUUUCAAAAGGUUGUGAACCACAUGCUAACUCAAGAUGAGUUUGAGGCGGCUUGGGGCUUGUUGUUGGAUAAAUGUAAUCUGAGGAAGCACACGUACAUGACCCAAAUAUAUGAAACCAGGAAAAAGUGGGCACAACCGUACUUCAAGGGUGUGUUUUGCGCAAAAAUAAUGAGCACCCAACGCACUAAGAGUGCAAACCAUGUGUUGAAGAGAUGUGCAUGCCUCCUGCUAGCCCAAUGCAUGUUUUCGUAGGCAGUACAUGAGGUUGCAAUUUGACCGCGAGGGUGAGGAAAGCUACGAGGAAAAGAGGACAAUGAUUGGCGGAGCCGUAAGGAGAACCAACCUUUGCAAUAGAGUGGCACACAAGCAAAAUCUACACUAGAAAUAUGUUUGAGGAAUUUGGCCACCUCCUAAUUGAAGGGAUGGCAUACAAUGUCACUGAAGUGGAGAGGUUCAGGAAAUAUAUAAUAACUCACAACAAUGCAGCAAAAAGAGAAAAAUGGAGCAGGGUUGAGUACGAGGUGACCAUAAACGAGACCAAUCAGUAUUCACUUGCGAGUGUGGCCAGUUUGAGCACACUGGGAUGUUGUGCAGCCAUGUCUUGAGGGUCAUGGAUAUACUUCAUCUGGAGGAAAUCUCUAAGCACCAUAUUGUCGAGCGGUGGACAAAAGAGGCAAGAGAUAUACUUCUGAAGCACUUGGUUCAGUACCAGAAAGACAAUUCAGCAAACUUGUCAUUCACAUGCAGAAGCGCGAAGCUAUACCUUAAAGCCAUGGAAGUCAUGCGGAUGGGCGAUGCAAGUGCUGCAUCUUUUGAUCACAUGUAUGCUGGUCUCGAAGCUCUGCUAGUGAGUGGAGCACCAUUGGCAGAGAAGAGGGAUGGGUUGGCAUUUGAGGACCGUUUGGAUGGAACGGUAGGUGGAAGACUGCAAGGCAACGUCGAGAUUGCUUUUGUUGAAGGACACGAUGGUGCUGACCAGUGCCAUAGUGGUGGGCAAUCUGUUAGUGUGAAUGCCCUCCAGGGCUUGGAGCUCCAAACAAGCAUAGGGGGCCGGAAGGCCAACAAACAACAGGGGGAAGGCACCUUAUGAAGGUCUAAGUAAACGAACCAGAUUCUGCAGCAUUUGUCGUCACGAAGGUCAUGAAAAGACCACGUGCCAGAGAGAGGGGUUGUGCCAAAAAACCCGGUGAAACCUAGGAAGUGCAAGAACUGCGGGAUAGAAGGCCAUCAACGAAAUACAUGCAAGAGGCCACUGGGUGUUGAUGAGAACUGAGCUAUGAAUUUUCAGUUUGUAAUGCGUGUUGUUGUUUAAUCUGGGGAUUUUCUAGUGUGUUUCAGUUGAGCACUGCUCCACGCUUGUACCUCAAUCUGCAGGGGCGUGUUUCAUGAUGUAUCUGAUAGCAACUGAUAUUUCUAUAGUUGUCUGAACUCUGUUCGAUUAGCAUAUUUGCUUAAAUAUCGUUUUGU